CGACAAUGGCGAAAGCCUGAUCAGCCAUGCGCGUGUGUGAAGAAGGUCUUCGGAUUGUAAAGCACUUUAAGUUGGGAGGAAGGGCAGUAAGCUAAUACCUUGCUGUUUUGACGUUACCGACAGAAUAAGCACCGGCUAACUCUGUGCCAGCAGCCGCGGUAAUACAGAGGGUGCAAGCGUUAAUCGGAAUUACUGGGCGUAAAGCGCGCGUAGGUGGUUUGUUAAGUUGGAUGUGAAAGCCCCGGGCUCAACCUGGGAACUGCAUCCGAAACUGGCAAGCUAGAGUACGGUAGAGGGUGGUGGAAUUUCCUGUGUAGCGGUGAAAUGCGUAGAUAUAGGAAGGAACACCAGUGGCGAAGGCCACCACCUGGACUGAUACUGACACUGAGGUGCGAAAGCGUGGGGAGCAAACCGGAUUAGAUAUAA
rnacentral:rRNA from 1 species